AGGGAUCAUUACACAAAUAUGAAGGCGGGCUGGAACCUCUCGGGGUUACAGCCUUGCUGAAUUAUUCACCCUUGUCUUUUGCGUACUUCUUGUUUCCUUGGUGGGUUCGCCCACCACUAGGACAAACAUAAACCUUUUGUAAUUGCAAUCAGCGUCAGUAACAAAUUAAUAAUUACAACUUUCAACAACGGAUCUCUUGGUUCUGGCAUCGAUGAAGAACGCAGCGAAAUGCGAUAAGUAGUGUGAAUUGCAGAAUUCAGUGAAUCAUCGAAUCUUUGAACGCACAUUGCGCCCUUUGGUAUUCCAAAGGGCAUGCCUGUUCGAGCGUCAUUUGUACCCUCAAGCUUUGCUUGGUGUUGGGCGUCUUGUCUCUAGCUUUGCUGGAGACUCGCCUUAAAGUAAUUGGCAGCCGGCCUACUGGUUUCGGAGCGCAGCACAAGUCGCACUCUCUAUCAGCAAAGGUCUAGCAUCCAUUAAGCCUUUUUUUCAACUUUUGACCUCGGAUCAGGUAGGGAUACCCGCU
rnacentral:rRNA from 1 species